rnacentral:tRNA from 1 species
AGGGCGUCGCGCGGGUUGGCGAGGGUGGUCUCCUCACCCUCGAUGAGGAAGGUCCCCGCGUCGUGCCGGUGCAGCCCCGCGAUGAUCUU